AGCAGCCGCGGUAAUUCCAGCUCCAAUAGCGUAUAUUAAAGUUGCUGCAGUUAAAAAGCUCGUAGUUGAAUUUCGGGAUCAAUGUUUCGGUCAUGCCGUUGGUAUGUACUGAUAUUAUUGAUUUCUCACCUUCUAAAGAACCGUAAUGCCAUUAAUUUGGUGUCACGGGGAAUUAGGACUGUUACCUUGAAAAAUUGAGUGUUUAAAGCAGGCUUACGCUUGAAUACAUUAGCAUGGAAUAAUGAAAUAGGACAUCCGAUUCUAUUUUGUUGGUUUCUAGGAUCGAUGUAAUGAUUAAUAGGGAUAGUUGGGGGCAUUAGUAUUCAAUUGUCAGAGGUGAAAUUCUUGGAUUUAUUGAAGACUAACUACUGCGAAAGCAUUUGCCAAGGAUGUUUUCAUUAAUCAAGAACGAA
rnacentral:rRNA from 1 species